rnacentral:rRNA from 1 species
UACAGAGGCCUCGAGCGUUAGGCGGAAUCACUGGGCUUAAAGCGUGUGUAGGCGGACUUCUAAGUACCUUGUGAAAUCCCACGGCUCACCCGUGGAACUGCUGGGUAUACUGGUCGUCUUGAGCCUUCUAGGGGCUACCGGAACAAAUGGUGGAGCGGUGAAAUGCGUAGAUAUCAUUUGGAACGCCAAUGGUGAAAACAGGUAGCUGGGGUUGUGCUGACGCUGAGACACGAAAGCCAGGGGAGCGAACGGG